AUUGAACGCUGGCGGCAGGCCUAACACAUGCAAGUCGAACGAGUGGCGGACGGGUGAGUAAUGUCUGGGAAACUGCCUGAUGGAGGGGGAUAACUACGGGAAACGGUAGCUAAUACCGCAUACCAUCAGAUGUGCCCAGAUGGGAUUGGCUGGUUGGGGGGGUAAAGGCUCACCGAGGCGGCGAUCCCUAGCUGGUCUGAGAGGAUGACCAGCCACACUGGAAUGUAGACACGGUCCAGACUCCUACGGUAGGCAGCAGUGGGGAAUAUUGCACAAUGGGCGCAAGCCUGAUGCAGCCAUGCCGCGUGUAUGAAGAAGGCCUUCGGGUUGUAAAGUACUUUCAGCGGGGAGGCGUUACCCGCAGAAGAAGCACCGGCUAACUCCGUGCCAGCAGCCGCGGUAAUUC
rnacentral:rRNA from 1 species